rnacentral:lncRNA from 1 species
GCAAUAAAUAUUCAGCUAUAAUAUCCUUUAAUGGCUAAGUAUUCCACAUAAAAUAAGGAUAUACCAUAAUUUAAGUAGUAUCUUAUUUGGGGAUAUUAUAUGUGUUUUUUUCUCUAUUUUUAAAAGGGACAAUCUAACAGUUAAAUUUUUGCUUUAUUUCCUUAGGAUGCAGUCUUAGAAGUGGAUUUUCUGGCAGGGUCUUCAUAGCCAGCUUAUUUUUCUUUGUUUUAGGCCUAUUUCUAACAGACUUGUUAUGUGUAUUCUUAUUCAAUUCUGGAUUGGAUUCAGAAAAUUGGACAGUGUUGCAGGUACUGAAUGACGUGUAGGCAUGCUGAUAUCCAUAAAAGUAAGAACUGGUAAGUAAAAGUCCUUCACAGGAAUAAUGAUAGGUUUUUUUUUUAGCUUAUUUAUUUGUUUUGAGAGAGUGCAUGUGUGGGGGGGGAGGGGCAGAGAGAGAGGAAGAGAAAGAAUCCCAAGCAGGCUCUGCCCUGUCAGAGUAGAGCCCGACAUGAGGCUUGAUCCCAUAACCCAUGAGAUCAUGACCUAAGCUGAAAUCAAGAGUCGGACACUUAACUGACCGAACCACCCAGGCGCCCCAAUGAUGGGUAUUUUAAAAACUUGGAAUUAAGUUUACUUUUCAUGAGCACAAUAAGAAAUGAUUCAUGAGCUGAAUAACAGGAUAUAGUGGUCAAUUCAGAAAUGCAUAUUCAAAUUAAAUAAAAACCUCUAUGAAUAACCUACAUAUUUGUUGACAGCAUCCAAUUUUAGGAGAGGUUUUAAUAAAUCGUGAAUAAUCAAGUUCACAGCUUCUCAAACUUUUUCAUAAAAGUGUGGUUAAUAGUAGAGAAAAGUGAGUAAUUGCCUUAGAAUGCUUGAUCCCAAACUAGAAUUUUCUUCAGUUUCUUGUCUUAAAUUUAAUAUAAAGGUUGCAUUACAUACCAUAGAAGCCCUAUGUUUAGUGUAAAUAUGCUUAUAAAUUUUUUUAAAAUCUUGGAAUAUAAAAUUGAUAUCUAAGAAGAUGCCCCAUGUUUAUUCAGUGGCUUUUAACACCCUGGCAUACCAUAAGUUUCCUUUGUCCUAAACUGGACUUUUAGAGUCAAGGUUCUAGGUUAUUUAUGGUUGUACAAUAUGCUCCUCCUUUUCAGUUUUCUCUUUUAUAGUUUAGCCCAGGCUAUUUAUAGUAGUGUAUGGUAGGGAGUAGAUUAAUUGGUGAUUACUCACUUUGAACCUGAGAGUGUUGGAAAGACUGAAAAUUCACAGAAUGAAAAUUUAAUAUCAUAUCCAACAGACUACACUUCAAGAAUGUUAAAGAAAGUCAUUCAGACAGAAAGGAAAUGAUACCGGAUGGAAAUACAGAUCUACACAGAGGAAUGAUGAGCACUGGAAAAGGUAACUACAUGGCCAAAUAUGUAAGUUUUUUUUUCCCAUUUAAUUCUCUUUUAACAUAACGAUUUAAACAAAAACAAUAGCAAUGUAUUAUGGGAUUUAUAAUAUGCAUUAGUAAAUAUAUGUCAAUAAUAGCAUAAAGACCAGGAAGAGAAAAAUAGAAAUAUGAUAUUAUAAGGUUCCUUUAUUAUAUGUGAAGUGGUAUAAAUUUACUUGAAAGUAAAUUGUAAUAAAUUAAAUAUGUAGACUAUAAACCCUAAAGCAACCAGUAGAAUAAUAACAAAACAGUUAUGGCUAAUAAGCCAAAAGGACAAAAAAUGGAAUCAUAAAAAAGUACUCAAUCCAGGGGCGCCUGGGUGGCUCAGUUGGUUAAGUGUCCAACUUUUGGUUUCGGGUCAGGUCGUGAUCUCACAGUUUGUGAGUUCGAGUCUUGUGUCAUGCUUAGUGCUGACAGGAUUCUCUCUCUCUUUCUUUCUCUUCCCCUUCCCUGCUUCUCUCUCUCUCUCUCUCUCUCUCUCUCUCUCAACAGAAAUAAACUUAAAAAAAAAAAAGUACUCAAUCCAAAAGAAGGCAGAAAAAGGAGAAAAGGAGCAAUGAACAGAUGGAACACAGAACAAAUGGAACAAAUAGAAGUUAGCAAGACGAGGGGGUGCCUGGGUUGGUUGAGUGUCUGACUCUUGACCUUGGCUCAGGUCAUAAUCUCACGGUUCGUGGGAUACAGCCCCAUGUUGGGCUCUGUGUUGGCAGUGUGUAGCCUGCUUGGAAUUCUCUCUCUCUCCCUCUCUCUCUUUCCCUCCCUUGCUCAUGCUCUUUCUCUCUCAAAAUAAAAAAAUAAAACAUUAAAAAAAAAAAAGAAGAAAAUAGCAAGAUGAUAGGCUUAAAUUUAAUUAUGUCAGUAAUCACACUAAAUGUAAAUGAUCUAAAAAUCCCAAUCAGGGGCGCCUGGGUGGCUCAGUCGGUUAAGCGGCCGACUUCGGCUCAGGUCAUGAUCUCGCAGUCCGUGACUUCGAGCCCCGCGUCGGGCUCUGUGCGGGCUCUGUGCUGACAGCUCAGAGCCUCGAGCCUGUUUCGGAUUCUGUGUCUCCCCUCCCUCUGACCCUCCCCUGCUCAUGCUCUGUCUCUCUCUCUGUCUUAAAAAUAAAUAAACGUUAAAAAAAAAAAAAUUAAAAAUCCCAAUCAAAGAGUACAGACUGUCAGGUUGGAUAGCAAGAAAGACCCAGCACACUUUAUAUAUAGAGAUACAAAAAUGUUAAGAAUGAAAGGAUGGUAAAAGAUAUACCAUGCUGAUGCUCACAUUAGUCAAAAGAAACUGGUGGAGCUGUAUUAACAUAGUAAAAACAAAGUAAGAUUUCAGAGCAAAGGGUAUAACCAGGGUAAAGAAAGUCAUUUCAUAACAAUAAAGAAGUCAGUUAAUUAGGAGGAUGUGAUAAUCCUAAAUGUUUAUGCCCCAAAUGAUAAAAGGUCCAAAAUAUGUGAAGCAAAAACUGAUAGAACUGUAAGCAGAAACAGACAAAUCUAUAAUUAUAGCCAGAGAUUUUAAUAAUUGCUUCAAUAAUUAAAUAAUUCCAUAAUAAUUAAAUUAUUAUUAUUAAAUAAUAAUCCUCUUAAAUAGUUGCUAGGACAAGUUGAAACAUAGCAAGGACAUAGUAAACUCAACACUAGAACAUUCCACAAACAGAAGAAUACACGUUCUCUUCAAAAAGAGUACAUUAAGCAUUUACCCAAAGAGACCAUGUUCUUGGUUAGGGGUUAGCAAAGUAUGACUAUGGGACCAAAUCUAGCUUGGUUUUAUAUGGCCUAUGAACUAAGAAUGGUUUUCACAUUUUGAAAGGUUUCUUAAAAAAGAAAAAAUAUGUAACAGAAGAGACUGUGUGUGACCCAUAAAGCUUAAACUAUUUACUGUCUGAUCCUUUAUAGAAAAAGUUUGCCAGUCUCUGUUUUAGACCAUAAAAUAUGUCUCAAUAUAUUUUAGAGGAUUUAAGUCAUGCAAACUAUGUCCUUUCACCACAAUGGAAUUAAAUUAGAAAUCAAUAGCAGAAAGCUAACUGGAAAAUCCCCAAAUAUUUGGAAAGUAAAUCACAUGCUUCUGGGUAACCCACUGAUUAAAGAAGAAAUCCAAGGUGAAAUUAGAAAGUAUUUUGACCUGAAUGAAAAUAAAAAUACAACGUAUCUUAAUUUAUACCAAUGAACUGCUUACAUUAAAAAAUACAAAAAAAUCUCAAAGCAAUGACCUAACUUGCACCGUAAGAAACUAGAAAAGAACAAAUCAAACACAGAGAAGCCAAAGAAAUGAAAUAAUAAAGAUGAAGGUGGAAAUUAAUGAAAUAGAAAACAAAGAUUAAUUGAGAAUAUCUAAGGAAUCAAAGCCUGGUUGUUUGAGAUCAGUAAAAUUGAUAAACCUUUGGCUAGACUGGUUAGGGGAAAAAAAAGAGAAGACACUUAUCAGGAAUACCAAUGUCAGAAAUGAGAGAGGUGACAUCAUUACAAAUUCUACAGAUAUUUAGAGGAUAAUAAAGGAAUAUUAUGAACAACUUUAGGCAAAAAAAAAUUUAACAACUUAGAUGAAAUGGCCAAAUUCCCUGAAAGACAUAAACUACCAAAGCUGACUCAAGAAGAAAUAUAUAACCCGAAUGGUUAUAUAUUUAUUUCCCCAAAAUUGAACUUUUAGUUUAAAACAUUCCUGUAAGAAAAAUUCUGGUCCAUAGGAUUUUACUAGUGAAUCCUUACAAUAUUUAGCAAAAAAAAAAAACAACAAAAAACAACCAAUCGCCGUAAGCUCUUUCACAAAAGUAAAGAGAAAGGAAUGUUUUCAGGCUUAUUCUGGAGGCCAGCAUUACCCUGAUACCCAAGCCACACAAAAACAUUACAAGAAAAGAAAACUCUGGACAAUUUCCCUCAUGAACACAGAUGUAAAAAAUUCUAGACAAAAUUUUAUUAAAUCCAACAAUAUAUAAAAAGGAUAAUAUUUUAAUUGGGUGGGAUUUAUUCCAAGAGUAUAAGAUUGGUUUAACAUUCAAAAAUCAAUCAUUAUAACUCACCACAUUAAUCUAAAAAAGAAAAGCUGAUCAUCUCAAUAGGUGCAGAAAAACAUCUGACAAAAUCCAAUAUUCAUUCCCAAUUUAAAAACUCAGCAAACUUAGAAUGCAAGGGUACUUCUUCAACCACAUAAAGUGCAUUUAUAGAAAACCUACAGAUAAUCUCAUGCCUAUCGGCGAAAGACUGCAUGCUUUUCCUGUAACUUCAGGACAACAGAGUAAUGUCUGUUCUUACCACUUUUAUUCAACAUUGGAGGUUCUGCCAUGCAAUCAGGCAAGAAAAGAAAAAAAACAUAUUCGUAUUGGAAAGGAAGAAAUAAAACUGACAUCAUCCGUCUGUUCCAUUUGGUGGAAUCUACAAAACUUACUAGAACUAAUAGGUGAAUGUAGCAAAAUUGCAGGAUACAAGAUAAAUGUAUAAUAAUUUGUAUUUCUACAUUCUAGCAACAAACAACUGAAAAUGGAAAUACAAAAAAUAUAUAGCCUUUACAAUAGCAUAAAAAAUAUGAAAUACUUAGGAAUAAAUCUGAUAAAAGGCACAAAGGACCUAUACACUAAAGACUGCAAAUAUGGUUAGAGAAAGUAAAGACAACUUAAAUAAUUGGACAGAUUUUCCUGGCUCAGUGGGUUCAUAUCAUUAACAUGUCAGCUCUCCUUAAAUUGAUAUGUAGGUUCAACACUAUCCAAAUCAAAAUCCCAGUAGGUUGAAAGAAAGAAAGAAAGGAAGGAAGGAAGAAAGAAACUUACAAGCUGAUUCUAAAAUUCAUAUAGAAAUGCAAAGAUGUAGAAUAGCCCAGUUAACUUUGAUAACAAGAACAAAGUUGGAGGACUGACACUACCUGAUUUUAAGACUUAUUAAAUAUCUACAGUAAUCAAAACAGAGUGGUAUUAGUGUAAAAAUAGACAAAUGGAUUAAUGUAACAGAAUGUAGAGUCCAGAAAUAGACCCACAUAUAUAAGGACAACAGGUUUUUGACAAAGGGCAAAGGUGAUUCAAUGAAUAAAGAAUAGUUUGUUUUUAACAAAUUGUGCUUAGAAGAACUGGAUAUCCAUAUAUAAAAAUAAGAACUUUGAUUUACAUCUCAAACCUUGUAUAAAUUUACCCCAAAUUGAUCACAGACCUAAAUAUAAAGCUUAAAAUUACUGUUAAAUUUCUGGAAGAGGAGGGUCUGGGUGGCUCAGUUCGUUGAGCGUCCAACUUUGGCUCAGAUCAUGAUCUCACAGCUCAUGAGUUGGAGCCGCACGUCGGGCUCUGUGCUGACAACUCAGGGCCUGGAGCCUGCUUUGGAUUCUGUGUCUCCCUCUCUCUUUGCCCCUCCCCUGCUUGCUCUGUCUCUCUCUGUCUCUCAAAAUUAAAUAAACUUAAAAAAAAAAUUAUUUUAAUUUCUGGAAGAAAGCGUAAGAAAAUUUUUGUGACUCUGAGUUAGACAAAGAUUUUUUAGAUGUGACAAUAAAAGUCACAAUCUAUGAAUGAACAAAUUGAGAGAUUGGACUUAGUCAAUUUUUACAAACUUCUAUUCUUUAAAAUAUACUGCUAAAGAAGACAAGCCCCAGCCUGAGAGAAAUAUUUGCAAAGCAUGUAAUAAAGAAUUUGUAUCAAGAAUGUAACAAACUCUCAGGGUUCCUGGUUGGUUCAGUUGUAGAGUAUUUGACUCUUAAUCUCGGGGUCAUGAGUUCAAGCCCCACGUUGGGCAUAGAUAUCACUUAAAAAAUAAAUAAAGAUAGGGGUGCCUGGGUGGCUCAGUCGGUUGAGUGCCUGACUGGGGCUCAGGUCAUGAUUUCACGGUCUGUGAGUUUGAGCCCCGCAUCAGGGUCUGUGCUGACAGCUCAGAGCCUGGAGGCUGCUUUGGAUUCUGUGUUUCCCUCUCUCUCUGCCUCUUCCCUGCUCACACUUUGUCUUGCUCUCUCUCAAAAAUAAAUAAAAACAUUAAAAACAUUUUUUUUAAAUGAAAGAAACUCUCAAACUCUCAAAACUCAACAAUGAGAAAACAAGUCUCAAAAAAUGGGCAAAGGACUUGGAUAGUAACUUCACCAAGCAGAUACCCAGAUAGCAAAUAGGUACAUGAAAAGAUGUUCCAACUUUAUUAACCUCAUUAGUCUUAGGGAAACAGAAUAAAAACCAUGAUGGAGAAACUGGAUAUCCAUAUACAAAAAAUGUAUACAUAUCUAUUAGAACAGCUAAAAUGAAAAGUGUUGUUAAGGAUAUGGAGGAAUUAGAACUUUGAUAUACUCCUCUAAUAGGGAUGUAAAAGGAUAUAAUCAGUUUGAAACAGUUUGGCAGUUUCUUGAAAAGUUAAACAUAUACCAAUAUAUAACCCAUUUCAUUGUAGGUAUUUCCCCAAGAAAGUAAAGCAUAUGUUCCUAUAGACAUCUGUAUAUGAAUAUUCAUAGUUGCUUUAUUUUUAACGAUCUCUAAUUUGAAACAAGUCAAAUGUCUAUUAACGGAUAAAUUGUGAUAUAUUCUUACAAUGUAAUACUCAGCAUUAAAAGGUAAUGAAGUAUUGUUAUAUACAACAACGUGGAUGAAUCUAAAAACGAUAUUCUAAGUGAUGAAAGGCAGAAAAUAUAAAAUUCUAGAAAAUGCAAACUAAUCUAUUAGGACAAAAGGGAGACGACGGCCCAGUGGUUGCUAGGAGAGAGGGAUUUUAAAAAGGCAGGGGAAAUUCUCAGGGUUGAUGGGUAUGUUCACUCUUAUUCUGGUGACGGUUUCACAGGGGUAUAGAUGUUAAAACUUAGCAGUUGUAUAGUUAUCAAUUGUAUGCAUGUUAAAAGUUUUUAGUUGUACACCUUAAGUAGGUGCAGUUUAUUGAAUAUCAGUUCUACCUUAGUAAAGUUUUAUAAAGCUUAAUACAUUUAAAAAUAUAUCUAUAAAAUAAGGGAAAAUAACUUCAAUUGAAAUAUAAAAGGGAAUUAACAUUUAUUAGAAAUAUACUAAGGGGCAAGUACUAGGUAGGUGCUUUAAAUAAGAAUUACAGUAUACAUAAAUAUAUCAUUUUCUAUGUGCACUUUAAAUACAUUAAGAUGUUGAGGCCACUUGGAUGGCUCAGUUGGUUGAGCCACUUACUCAUGAUUUCGUCUCAGAUCAUGAUCCCAGGGUUGUAGAUCAAGCCUUGCAUUGGGCUUGGGGCCUGCUUAAGAUUCUCUCUCCCUCUGCCCCUUUCCCCCAUUCCCGUGCUCUCCCUCUCUCUCUCAAAUAAAAAAAAAAAUUAAAUAUAUUAAGGUGUUAAAUCCUCACAACCCUUUGGGGUAUAGGGACUAUUAUUAUCCUCAUUUUAUAGAUGAGGAAAAGGAGGCAUUAAGUCACAAAGCUUCUGAGUGAGGGAGCUGAAAUUUGAACCUGGGAAGUCUUAUUUGAAUAGAUCUUUAUGACAUCGAUAAGGGUACAGCGUUUUAGUUCCAGUUUACAAAAUGAGAGAACUGUGACUCACAAAGGCAGUAAAUUUUCCAGGGUCGCAGAAUUUGUAAGUAAUGUCAAGAUUUAAACUCAAAUUUGUUUUAUUCCAAAAUUAUAUACUCUUCUAUACUAGAUUGCUUGCACUUAGAUUUGUGGUUAAAUAGCAGGCCUAAUGCUAUAAUCCUAGUGAUAACUCAGACUAUGUGAUCCACUUCUCCCACACCCCUUUUACCACUCAAUGUGUUGUCUGGCAUGUUUGUUGACUAUAGAUUAGAAUAUCUAUUUCUAUCUCUAUUUCUAUCUCUAUCUCUAUAUAGCAUCAAUAAGCAAGUAAGAGCUCAAAAAUUUUUAUUGUUGCUUUGUCUUGACAAUUCCAUUUUCGAUAUUCAUAGUAACUGUUUCUCUUGAAACUAAGAGAUUGAAUGUGUGACUUUGAAGGAUCUUUUCAGGCUAAUAUUAAAGCCAGUAACUUGUCUAUGCACUUCCAUAAGUAGAAUUAAACAGAUGAUGUGUUCUUAUAUCCCUAAAAUUGAACUGGAGGAAUUUCUUUUACUUUUCCAUGAUAUCUUCCUUUUCCUGUGAGUGAGUGAGUGUGUGUUUUAGAUUAUGGUUACUAGAGUGGGAGAUACGGUUUGAUAUGUGGUCAAGUGGCCCCCAACGAGACUUUCUUGGUUAAAGUCAUGAGAGUAAGCAAGAAUGCAGGAACAUUUGUAAAUUGCUAAAUAAAGUAUUCCAUUAUACUGAACAGAAUUCAAAAGGCAUAAAACUUUUACAAUAAAAAUAUUUUUUUAAGUGAAUUUUGGAGUCAGUAUGGUAUUAGUUAAGAAAAGUGGCAUUGGAAUCAGAUCUGAACUCAAAUCCUCGUACUUCCUACUUACUAUCUAGGUUACCUUGAAGAUAUAACUUAACUUGGGCCUCAGUUUUGCCCAUCUGUGAGAUGGGUAAUACCUCAUUGAGUUUUUGUGUGUUAAAUGAGAUAAUAAAUAUGUGAGCACAUAACACAGUAUCCAACAUACAGAAAGUACUCUAAUAAAUGUUCUACUGUUAGCUACUAUGAAGGUACUUCUAUAUAAAUAUAGGAAUCCAGGGGCACCUGGGUGGCGCAGUCGGUUAAGCGUCUGACUUCAGCCAGGUCACGAUCUCGCGGUCCGUGAGUUCGAGCCCCGCGUCAGGCUCUGGGCUGAUGGCUUGGAGCCUGGAGCCUGUUUCCGAUUCUGUGUCUCCCUCUCUCUCUGCCCCUCCCCCGUUCAUGCUCUGUCUCUCUCUGUCCCAAAAAUAAAUAAACGUUGAAAAAAAAAAAGUAUAAAUAUAGGAAUCCAAAGCCAUAUCUGAUUAGAUAAUUAUUAAAUGAUGAAAUUAUUUUAUGAUAUAAUCUCCUGUGUACAGAAAAUAUAUCAAAUAGAUUACAAAAACCCUGAGUUCAGGGAAUAUUGAACCUGAUCCUUUCCUAUUUAAAGAAACAUGUAGCCUAGCACAUUCUAAAAUUGAACCCUCUUGGGGCGCCUGGGUGGCUCAGUUGGUUGGGUGGCCGACUUCGGCUCAGGUCACGAUCUCGUGGUCCGUGAGUUCGAGCCCUGCGUCGGGCUCUGGGCUGACCGCUCAGAGCCUGGAGCCUGCUUCGGAUUCUGUGUCUCCCUCUCUCUCUGCCCCUCCCCUGCUCAUGCUCUGUCUCAAAAAUAAAUAAAAAUAUUAAAAAAAAAAUAAAUAAAAUUGAACCUUCUUUAAAGGGGAUUCACGUGGUUCCAUAGCCAAGAUUUGCUUUGGAAAUGGAAAUUCACGUUGACCCUGACAGUUUUACAUAAAACAAACUCCAGGGGCACCUGGGUAACUCAGUCGGUUACAUGUCCAACUUUGGCUCAGGUCAUGAUCUCCCAGUUUGUGAGUUUGAGCCCCGUGUCAGGCUCUGUGCUGACAGCUCAGAGCUUGGAGCCUGCUUUGGAUUCUGUGUCUCCCUCUCUUUCUGUCCCUCCCCUGCUCGCACUCUAUCUUCUCUCUCUCCCUCAAAAAUAAACAAACAUUAAAAAAAAUAUUUUUAAAACUCCAAAUUUAACUUUUAAAUAGUUUGAAUGACUUGUGCUAAUGUAUAUUUUAUAUUCUAUAUUUUUUGAAGCCAUGGCCUUUAUACAAAGGUACGCAGUCAAAAGUUGCAGGUACUUAUUUUGUUUGUUUUAUCUUAAGGCACAUAAUGUGUAUAAGUUGGCUAGGAGGACAUUCAGUUAAAAAUUCAUAAUUUCCAGGGUCGCCUGGGUGGCUCAGUCGGCUUAGGUCAUGAUCUCAAGGUUCAUGAGUUCAAGCCCCAUAUCGUGCUCUCUGCUGUCAGCGCGGAGCCUGCCUCAGAUCCUCUGCCCCCUUCUCUCUCUCUGCCUCUCCCCUGCUCCCACUCUCUUUCUCAAAAAAUAAACUUAAGGGGCGCCUGGGUGGCGCAGUCGGUUAAGCGUCCGACUUCAGCCAGGUCACGAUCUCGCGGUCCGGGAGUUCGAGCCCCACAUCGGGCUCUGGGCUGAUGGCUCAGAGCCUGGAGCCUGUUUCCAAUUCUGUGUCUCCCUCUCUCUCUGCCCCUCCCCCGUUCAUGCUCUGUCUCUCUCUGUCCCAAAAAUAAAUAAACGUUGAAAAAAAAUUAAAAAAAAAAUAAAUAAAAAAAAUAAACUUAAAAAAAAUGCAGAACUUCCAAUGAGAUAAUCCAGUAAGAAUAUAUCUUUCAAUUUUAUUCAUUCAUUUUAUUAUACUCCCUCACUAAGGGGUCAGUCAAAAUGAAGAGUCGAUAUUUAAUAAAGGACAGCUUUAUCUGACCUGAAGGAAAGAGUUCCAAAGAUAGAUCACCUUCUUUGAAAUUGCUUUGAAAUUGAUACCUCAUCUUAGAGUCAAAGUUCAUACAUAGCCAUUUGAUCUUCUUCACUGCAUUUCCUCAUUAGUCCAUUGAGUUUCCAUCAAUUUCUAUAUGAUGAUGACUUACACAUGUACAGUAACAGGCCCAACAGCUGCUCAAGAAAGCUUGAGUCCUCUGUCUUCUGGUGACAUCCCAUUUAGAUCUGACAUUAAGUUCAUUUUUUUCCCUUCAAGCUAUUUCUUCCAAAUUUCUUAGUUAUUCUUGCUGACAACACAAAUUUUCGGACCUUCAAACUUAAAAUCUUAUGUUCAUUUCUUUAUUUUCUUAUCCUCCCGUAGGUAAACAAGUGUUAAAUUUGUUACUUCUUAUAGUUGCUUCUUUAUUAUAUACUUCAGACCUGUAUCUUUUCAUUUUUAAAACUGCCCAUUUAAUCCAAAGCUCUUAAGUGUCUAGUUUGUGUUCUAGGCUCUUGUAUUAUACUGCAUUGCAUUACAUUGCCUUGCUUGUAUUGCAUUACAGCCUCUUGGUAUUUUCCCUAGUCCCCAUCCUGUCUUACCCCUUUUCCCACUAGCAUAUACAAACUCUGUAGAGAAGUAUUGCUAGGUGAAUAAAGAACACCUGAUUGACUAAAAAAAAGGAAUUUAAAUAGAAUCUCCUUUCAGUGAUUCCACCUACAAGGAAAGGAGAAGAACAGAGCCUUCAGGAAUUGAAUCACAACCUAGACAUCUACUGAAUGGGAGAGUGUUGCUAGGAAGAGACAUUAUAUAUAUAAUAACCACUGGAAAGAUAAAAGGAGAUAUGAAAUUCAACUUUUUGCUUUCUUUCCCUUUUUGCUUUUCACAUAGUUCAGUUGGGAAUCUUUCUAGGUGCAGUAUUUAUUUUGUUUGUGUUAGUCUGGUCAUUAUAAAGUUAUCUAGGAAGCUAGGAGAGCUGACCAGCAGAAGGGAAAAAAAGCAGUCUAUUCUGACUACACUGACCAAAGGAGUUCAAUUCAUACCAAACAUCUUUCUCCCAUUUAGAAAACAUCCUAGCAUCUAAGGCCUUCUACUAUAAGCCCAUUACUAGUUCUUUUCCUUUCUCUUUCAUUUCUCUCUACUCUCAUAUUUGUGUCGACUGUUCCUAUCCAGUUGUCACGCCUUGGACAUGCAGUUGCUGGGCCUGCCCUGCAGUAGUUCUGCGGACUGCUCUAUCUCUAGUGCCUUCAACAGUGCCUAGCACGUAGCACACAGUGAGCACUCAAUACAUGUUGGAUGAAUGAAUCAAUGGUUGGUUAUCUUUUCUCUCUGGCAAUCCAAAUCCACUACAGCUUUAAAAACUACAUGAAACUUGCCUAUUCCAGUAAACUUCUAUCCAUUAUCAAUCUAGUUUUUAAAUCACUUCAUUUUCCAUAUCCCCUUAGCAAUUAUUUAUAGUUUGCAUUUGAUUCAUAUACUUACUAUGUUUCUUUUCAAACACUCCCACAUCCUUUUUACCUAUGUUAUAUUUUCAAUUAAAAUAUAUCAAAUUUUACAUAUUGCAUAUGCUGCUCGACAGUGCCUCAUGUGCUGUAGAAAGCAAGACACUCGAUAGGUGGGCCGGCUACCUCCGUAAAAGGAGGACAUUCUCUAGAACAUUGUGAUCAUCCUUGAAAGGGAGUUUAGAUACAUAAAUAAGUUCUGUUUUUUGCUAUUUCACUAUAUAUUGUGUGACCUUGAGUAAAAUCAUUCCUUCAGUGCUUAGUUUAAGAACAAAUUAAGAAACUGUUUCCAAAACAAAAACAUUUUAAAGUUACGGAAGAAUCUACAUGUUGGUACAUUUCUCCAGAAAUAUUUAAUGUAAUAAAGAAGUUCUAGCUGGUCAGGACGCCUGGGUGGCUUAGU